ACUGAAUACAUAGGUUAACGAGGCGAACCGGGGGAACUGAAACAUCUAAGUACCCCGAGGAAAAGAAAUCAACCGAGAUUCCCCCAGUAGCGGCGAGCGAACGGGGAGCAGCCCAGAGUCUGAAUCAGCUUGUGUGUUAGUGGAACGGUCUGGAAAGUCCGACGGUACAGGGUGAUAGUCCCGUACACCAAAAUGCACAGGUUGUGAACUCGAAGAGUAGGGCGGGACACGUGGUAUCCUGUCUGAAUAUGGGGGGACCAUCCUCCAAGGCUAAAUACUCCUGACUGACCGAUAGUGAACCAGUACCGUGAGGGAAAGGCGAAAAGAACCCCGGCGAGGGGAGUGAAAAAGAACCUGAAACCGUGUACGUACAAGCAGUGGGAGCACCUUCGGGUGUGACUGCGUACCUUUUGUAUAAUGGGUCAGCGACUUAUAUUCUGUAGCAAGGUUAACCGUAUAGGGGAGCCGCAGGGAAACCGAGUCUUAACUGGGCGUUAAGUUGCAGGGUAUAGACCCGAAACCCGGUGAUCUAGCCAUGGGCAGGUUGAAGGUUGGGUAACACUAACUGGAGGACCGAACCGACUAAUGUUGAAAAAUUAGCGGAUGACUUGUGGCUGGGGGUGAAAGGCCAAUCAAACCGGGAGAUAGCUGGUUCUCCCCGAAAGCU
rnacentral:rRNA from 1 species